AUAUUUUUCUACUAUGUAGGUGUGAGAGUGGACCGAGACGAUGACAGGUCCCAAGCUGGAACCAUUACCGAGGAGUGUCAGGCACAACACAGCCCACCAUCAUCAGUUCCUUCUGAGGAAGGCUCUGAGGCUUCUGAGCAGGACGACGACCCAGACCCAGAGCAACCAGAGCCUGAAGAUGUGCUUCCCUGAUUGUAGUAGGGAAAACAGUUUGUAUGCUGGGUGAGUGGGAUCUUUGAUCUGUGUUUCUGUUAUCAGAGAGUUGAAGAAUGCACCAUAUUCAUUUUGUGCAUAAAUAAACUACAAAUUGUACUCAAAAUUG